GGACAUGAGUGCGACCUGGCUGUGACAUUUGCCAUCACAUUGAUCGCCAGAGUUGAUUUGGCUGACCGGGCUGGCUGGGUGUCCCCUUCCUCCCUCACUGCCUCCAUGUGUGUCCCCACCUGGAGGUUCUGUCAAACACGACCUCCCCCAACAGAAGAGGACCUGCUUUCAGGUAAGGGUGUAUAAGUAGAUGCGCUUCCCUGCUAGAACCUCCAAACAAGCUCUCAAAACAUAAUGUAAGCUCAAAUAAAAUAGCUUCACCGCCUAAGUAGAAGGAACAAGGAAGUGGGUUUGGUAGAAGCCCAGAGAUGAAAGGUCCUCUUGUCUUGUUGGCAGCCCAGACUGUGAGUCCUU
rnacentral:snRNA from 1 species